ACAUGCAAGUCGAACGAUGAAGCCCUUCGGGGUGGAUUAGUGGCGAACGGGUGAGUAACACGUGGGCAAUCUGCCCUUCACUCUGGGACAAGCCCUGGAAACGGGGUCUAAUACCGGAUAACACCGGCUUCCGCAUGGAAGCUGGUUGAAAGCUCCGGCGGUGAAGGAUGAGCCCGCGGCCUAUCAGCUUGUUGGUGGGGUAAUGGCCCACCAAGGCGACGACGGGUAGCCGGCCUGAGAGGGCGACCGGCCACACUGGGACUGAGACACGGCCCAGACUCCUACGGGAGGCAGCAGUGGGGAAUAUUGCACAAUGGGCGAAAGCCUGAUGCAGCGACGCCGCGUGAGGGAUGACGGCCUUCGGGUUGUAAACCUCUUUCAGCAGGGAAGAAGCGAAAGUGACGGUACCUGCAGAAGAAGCGCCGGCUAACUACGUGCCAGCAGCCGCGGUAAUACGUAGGGCGCAAGCGUUGUCCGGAAUUAUUGGGCGUAAAGAGCUCGUAGGCGGCUUGUCACGUCGGGUGUGAAAGCCCGGGGCUUAACCCCGGGUCUGCAUCCGAUACGGGCAGGCUAGAGUGUGGUAGGGGAGAUCGGAAUUCCUGGUGUAGCGGUGAAAUGCAUAG
rnacentral:rRNA from 1 species